ensembl:lncRNA
GGGUGCAUCAUUCUGCUGAAAAAGACCACAGCCAUCAGGGAAUACCAUUUCCAUGAAAUAUUGCACAUGGUCUGCAACAAUGCUUAGGCUCGCUUUACAUCACUGAGGUAGGGCACACAAUUCUGUGAUUGGAACACCCCUGCCUUUCAAGUUCCCGUGUUCUCCAACAGCAUAUGAUCAUCUUCCUUACAACCCUCCCUUACUCAGAGAUUCCCUGGACCAACCCCUGUGUUACCUGAGUGAUUGGAGUAUGAAGAGGCGCGUGAGGGGUGGACGGAAUGAGUGUGUGACUUUCGGCGUCUUUCCCAUUCGUGUGUGGACCCCCGGAGCCCGGCUUUCCCCUCACCUUUGUAAAUAGAUCACCUGGUGUAUUGUAAUAAAGACUCUUGUGCUUUCAAGACCUAGAGCCUGCACGUGAGUCCGUUCAGUCCCGUUGUGACAGACUCCUGUUUCACUGUGUUUAAGUGUAAGUGAACCAGCACCCCAGGCCAAACUCAGAAGACCAUUUUAUUGGUAUCAUACUAUAAUAUUAUGGUAAUGUAAGCACUCUGUUUAGCAAAGCAAUGUGUGAAGAUGAAAUAAAAUGGUUUAUCACACUAACUUGUUUUUAGCAGAUAUGUACUACUGAAUCAUUUGUGUAUUUCUCACAGAACAAGCCGGUACACUCAGACUGCUUAUGAACACCUGUUCUGAAGGCAAAACGAGGUCAAACCCUGAACAAGCAAGGUAUGCAUAUGCAAUAAAGUUGUGUGUGUAUGUGUUUGUGUGUGCAGAGUAAUAUGGUGGAUGCUCAUGUGAUAAUUGAAACCCUGAAGUCAUCGUAUGUACAAAUAAUCACUGAAACUGGCAGCAGGUGGAUGCUGCUGCUGCUGCUGCUGCCUCUGAUGAUGUCAAUGACGCGAUUUGGUAUUGGAAACUCCAGGUUCCUUUGCCACUUUUGCUAUAUCUUCUAUCAGGAACCUACAGGCGUGAUUACAAGUAAAGACAGAAAUCAGCCACCUGGUACAACCACUUCACUGUAUUAGAAAUCUCAGUCUAGAGCUACUUGGCGCCUUGACCUCAUCACCCUGCAUAUUCAUCACACUGGAUAAUUAGGACUGCAUUCUUGGAAAUAUGUGAUGUUUUGCAAGAACUACAGAUUUAUGGGUAUAGCAUCUGAACAUCGAUAUCAGCUUUAUUUAUGGUAAAAAUGUUGCAAAAUGUACACGCUUGUAGAAUAAAAUGUGAGAACGUGUUAAAAAAAACUUUGAAAUUGUAAUUGAAUAUUUUCCCUUGUAAAAAUGCUUCAGACGCUUGUGUUUAAGUUACUGUAAAAUAAGUAAAUAUCAGUAAAUAUGCCAUUUACUGAAGGUGGUGGAAAUGUUGUGGUUAUAUAAAUUGUUUUGGGUAAAUGUUAAAAAAAAAGAAUAGGGCAUGGAGAGUUUUAAAUUCAGUUAUUAUUAUAAUAAACAUUGACUUUUUCCCAGGGGGGAGAGGGAUACAUUACUAUAAGAAAAUAAAAUAAAUUGCAUUGGAUCAGCCAAAUUAUUAUUUUGUAUAUCAGUACUGGGCCAGUGCAUCCUUAUUAAGCUCCGGGUGUGGGAUUUAAGUGGUUGAUUUAGCCUUAAACAGGAAUUUCCUCUUGGAUACUUCAUCCAUAAAAUAAUCAUCCACAGUUUAUAUGCUGGUGUGUAACACGUCACAAUAAAAUGACAAUAUUUUGAUGAUGGUUUUAUCUGUACUGAGCUUCCUGUCUUGGCAAAGCACACAGAAACAGUGCAGGGAGCAAAGCUGCAGGUUUUAAUAACAGUGUUUUGAACAGUCGCCUCAGACUCUCGCAGCUGCUUAUGAAUUGGUCAUAAGGAUGCUUUCUGUUUGUUACUCUAGAUGAUCCCUAAGUUGGGACUGCUCCAGCUGCUAAGAUUUAAGGAGAAAUUAAAGUCAGAAGACACCAGGUGCAUGAGAACAGACGAGAAAAAUGAUUUGUUGGUGAACAAUUCGAUCCCUGGACAAAAAAAAAGAAAACUGCCCUUUUAACCUUCAACCAAAGUCCCUACAGAGCGUCUCCAAGGCAGAAAAAUGACUGCUUCAGCUGUGAACAUCUGCGUAUUUGAAUUUG